rnacentral:misc_RNA from 1 species
AAGUCGUAACAAGGUUUCCGUAGGUGAACCUGCGGAAGGAUCAUUACCAAUUUAUCGGGGGACUUCGGUCCCUGUCUGAACCCUUGUCUUUUGCGUACCAUUUGUUUCCUUGGUGGGCUAUGCCUGCCAACAGGACACUAUUCAACCUUUUGUAAUUGCAAUCAGCGUCAGAAAAAACAUAAUUAUUACAACUUUCAACAACGGAUCUCUUGGUUCUG